rnacentral:rRNA from 1 species
CGGACGGGUGAGUAACGCGUGAGAAUCUGCCUUCAGGUCGGGGACAACCACUGGAAACGGUGGCUAAUACCCGAUGUGCGCAACGUGAAAGAUUUAUCGCCUGAAGAGGAGCUCGCGUCUGAUUAGCUAGUUGGUGGGGUAAAAGCUCACCAAGGCGACGAUCAGUAGCUGGUCUGAGAGGAUGAUCAGCCACACUGGGACUGAGACACGGCCCAGACUCCUACGGGAGGCAGCAGUGGGGAAUUUUCCGCAAUGGGCGAAAGCCUGACGGAGCAAGACCGCGUGAGGGAGGAAGGCUCUUGGGUUGUAAACCUCUUUUCUCAGGGAAGAACACAAUGACGGUACCUGAGGAAUCAGCCUCGGCUAACUCCGUGCCAGCAGCCGCGGUAAUACGGAGGAGGCAAGCGUUAUCCGGAAUUAUUGGGCGUAAAGCGUCCGCAGGUGGCACUUCAAGUCUGUCGUCAAAGACUGGGGCUUAACCCUGGAAAGGCGGUGGAAACUGAAGCGCUAGAGUGUGGUAGGGGGUAGAGGGAAUUCCCGGUGUAGCGGUGAAAUGCGUAGAGAUCGGGAAGAACAUCGGUGGCGAAGGCGCUCUACUGGACCACAACUGACACUCAGGGACGAAAGCUAGGGGAGCGAAUGGGAUUAGAUACCCCAGUAGUCA